GUGUCCAUCCCAGCCUCCUGAUCCAUCCCUCCCGCCUGGUUUCUCCUUCGGUAUCCCGGUUCAUAUUCUCAUUCUGAAGUCCUCGCGGAUUCUUUGCUUCAGCUGGACUUGUGCCCGAAGCAGCGGGAGACACUGCCUCAUACAGCCGCAACAUCUCAUAAGUCCUGGCAGGAAAACUCUUCACUGGCUGAGCCACGGGGGAAGCAUCUCUAGAGUGAGAGUGCCCUGUGCUCAGAAGGUGGGUCAUCGUUGGACACUGACCACCAGCUCCGUGCGCUGCACAGUAAGCCCUGGUUUUCCUUAUGGCAGACCUGAACUCCUUAUUUAUCCCCCCCCCCCCACACCCCCCC
ensembl:lncRNA